AGUGUAGGCGGCUUCGUAAGUCGGAUGUGAAAGCCCUGGGCUUAACCUGGGAAUGGCAUUCGAUACUGCGCGGCUAGAGUCUGAUAGAGGGAUGUGGAAUUCCAGGUGUAGCGGUGAAAUGCGUAGAGAUCUGGAGGAACACCAGUGGCGAAGGCGGCAUCCUGGAUCAAGACUGACGCUGAGGCUCGAAAGCGUGGGGAGCAAACAGGAUUAGAUACCCUGGUAGUCC
rnacentral:rRNA from 1 species